rnacentral:rRNA from 1 species
GAUGAACGCUAUCUAAGGCUUAACACAUGCAAGUCGAGGGGCAUCAGGACGAUAGCUUGCUAUUGUUGCUGGCGACCGGCGCACGGGUGAGUAACGCGUAUCCAACCUUCCCCUUAGUAGCGGAUAGCCCGGUUUACUUCUUGGAUUAAUACGCUAUGUUAUCCGAAGAGGACAUCUGAAUUGGAUUAAAGAUUCAUCGCUAAGGGAGGGGGAGCGACUGAUUAGGUAGCCUUUCGUGGGUAACGGCCCCGCCGAGCGCGCACCACUCAGUAGGGGUUCCUGAAACGGAAGGUCCCCCACAUUGGGAACUGAAGACACGGGCCCAACCUCCUACGGGAGGGAGCAGUGAGGAAUAUUGGUCAAUGGGGCGAAAACCUGAACCAGCCAAGUAACGCGGAAGGAUGACGGGCCCUAGGGGUGGUAAACUGGCUUUUGCAUGGGAAUAAAGUGGAGGAACGUGUCCCUUUUUUUUUGGUCCAUGGAAAAUAAGGACGGGCAUAAUUUCGUGGCCAGGAGCCCGCGGAUAUUACGAAAGGGCCGGGGCGUUAUACCGGAAUUAUUGGGUUUAAAGGAACACACGCCUGCCUGUCUAAGCGUGGAGUGGAAAUCGCAGGGGCUCUACACACAGUGUGAGAAAUGUGCUGCCUU